rnacentral:rRNA from 1 species
GAGUUUGAUCGUGGCUCAGAUUGAACGCUGGCGGCAUGCCUUACACAUGCAAGUCGAACGGCAGCACGGGAGCUUGCUCCUGGUGGCGAGUGGCGAACGGGUGAGUAAUGCAUCGGAACGUAUCCUGGAGUGGGGGAUAACGUAGCGAAAGUUACGCUAAUACCGCAUAUUCUGUGAGCAGGAAAGCGGGGGACCUUCGGGCCUCGCGCUCUUGGAGCGGCCGAUGUCGGAUUAGCUAGUUGGUGAGGUAAAGGCUCACCAAGGCGACGAUCCGUAGCAGGUCUGAGAGGAUGAUCUGCCACACUGGAACUGAGACACGGUCCAGACUCCUACGGGAGGCAGCAGUGGGAUUUGGACAAUGGGGGCAACCCUGAUCCAGCCAUGCCGCGUGAGUGAAGAAGGCCUCGGUGUAAGUACUCUUCGUCGAGGAGAAG